rnacentral:rRNA from 1 species
CCUACGGGGGGCUGCAGUGGGGAAUAUUGGACAAUGGGGGCAACCCUGAUCCAGCCAUGCCGCGUGUGUGAAGAAGGCCCUCGGGUUGUAAAGCACUUUCAGUGAGGAAGAACGCCUGGUGGUUAAUACCCAUCAGGAAUGACAUCACUCACAGAAGAAGCACCGGCUAACUCCGUGCCAGCAGCCGCGGUAAUACGGAGGGUGCGAGCGUUAAUCGGAAUUACUGGGCGUAAAGCGCGCGUAGGUGGCUUGAUAAGCCGGUUGUGAAAGCCCCGGGCUCAACCUGGGAACGGCAUCCGGAACUGUCAAGCUAGAGUGCAGGAGAGGAAGGUAGAAUUCCCGGUGUAGCGGUGAAAUGCGUAGAGAUCGGGAGGAAUACCAGUGGCGAAGGCGGCCUUCUGGACUGACACUGACACUGAGGUGCGAAAGCGUGGGUAGCAAACAGGAUUAGAUACCCUGGUAGUC